GACUUGCGGCUGCGGGGAGCACUGCGAGUGCAGCCCGUGCACGUGUGGCCGGGCCACGAUGCCGUCCGGCCGCGAGAACAGGAGGGCUAACUGCUCCUGCGGGGCGUCCUGCAACUGCGCAUCCUGCGCCUCGGCCUGAUCCAUGCGCCUCGCCCUCGUGCUACCGCGCUGCCUAGUGGAGGGAGUUGUCUAGUGAGGCUCUGGAGACGAAGCAACUAGCACUACUUCUAAUAAAGGGGCUUGUGUCAUGCUCGCCAGACGCAUCACGCGCUGCAUCUGCAUCGUGGUAUCGU
rnacentral:lncRNA from 1 species